rnacentral:rRNA from 1 species
UUCGGGAUGCCGGCGAGUGGCGAACGGGUGCGUAACGCGUGGAAACCUACCCUGAGAUGGGGGACAACAGCUGGAAACGGCUGCUAAUACCGCAUAAGCCCUACGGGGGAAAGACGCAAGUCGUCUUGGGAGGGGUCCGCGUCGGAUUAGCUUGUUGGCGAGGUAAUGGCUCACCAAGGCGAUGAUCCGUAGCUGGUCUGAGAGGAGAUCAGCACCUGGCAAUGGACCCGGCAGACAUUACUCCUACGGGAGGCAGCAGUGGUGGGGAAUAUUGCGCAAUGGGGGAAACCCUGACGCAGCGAUACCGCGUGGGUGAAGAAGGUCUUCGGAUUGUAAAGCCCUUUCAGUGGGAAAGAUGAUGACGGUACCCACAGAAGAAGCUCCGGCUAACUCCGUGCCAGCAGCCGCGGUAAUACGGAGGGGGCGAGCGUUGUUCGGAAUUACUGGGCGUAAAGGGCGCGUAGGCUGUUUUGCAAG